GGUAAAAAAGCUCGUAGUUGGAUUUCUGUUGAGAGCGACCGGUCCAUACCACGUAUGCGUAUCUGGCUUGCUCUCGGCAUCCUCUCGAUAGACGUUGCUGCGCUUGAUUGCGUGGCGCGGAUCUCGGGACUUUUACUUUGAGGAAAUUAGAGUGUUCACGGCAGGCUUUCGCCAGAAUACAUUAGCAUGGAAUAAUACUAUAGGAUCUUGGUUCUAUUUUGUUGGUUUCUAGAAUUGAGAUAAUGAUUAAUAGGGACAAUUGGGGGCAUUCGUAUCAACACGUCAGAGGUGGAAUUCUUGGAUUGUGUUGCGACAAACUACUGCGAAAGCAUUUGCCAAGGAUGUUUUCAUUGAUCAAGAACGAAAGUAAGGGGAUCGAAGACGAUUAGAUACCGUCGUAGUCUUUACCAUAAACUAUGCCGACUAGAGAUGGGGCAUCGUUCAUUUACGACUUGCUCCGCACCUUAUGAGAUAUCAAAGUUUUUGGGUUCCGGGGGGAGUAUGGUCGCAAGACUGAAACUUAAAGGAAUUGACGGAAGGGCACCACCAGGAGUGGAGCCUGCGGCUUAAUUUGACUCAACACGGGGAAACUCACCAGGUCCAGACAUAAUAAGGAUUGACAGAUUGAUAGCUCUUUCUUGAUUUUAUGGGUGGUGGUGCAUGGCCGUUCUUAGUUCGUGGAGUGAUUUGUCUGCUUAAUUGCGUUAAC
rnacentral:rRNA from 1 species